rnacentral:rRNA from 2 species
UACGGGGGGUGCGAGCGUUGUCCGGAAUCACUGGGCGUAAAGGGCGCGUAGGUGGUCUGAUAAGGGUGUGGUGAAAGCCCGGGGCUCAACCCCGGGUCUGCCGUGCCGACUGUCAGACUGGAGUGCUGUAGGGGCAGGCGGAAUUCCGGGUGUAGCGGUGGAAUGCGUAGAGAUCCGGAGGAAGACCGGUGGCGAAGGCGGCCUGCUGGGCAGUUACUGACACUGAGGCGCGACAGCGUGGGGAGCAAACAGG